GACGAACGCUGGCGGCGUGCUUAACACAUGCAAGUCGAACGGAAAGGCCCUGCUUUUGUGGGGUGCUCGAGUGGCGAACGGGUGAGUAACACGUGAGUAACCUGCCCUUGACUUUGGGAUAACUUCAGGAAACUGGGGCUAAUACCGGAUAGGAGCUCCUGCUGAAUGGUGGGGGUUGGAAAGUUUCGGCGGUUGGGGAUGGACUCGCGGCUUACCAGCUUGUUGGUGGGGUAGUGGCUUACCAAGGCUUUGACGGGUAGCCGGCCUGAGAGGGUGACCGGCCACAUUGGGACUGAGAUACGGCCCGGACUCCUACGGGAGGCAGAAGUGGGGAAUAUUGCACAAUGGGCGGAAGCCAGAUGCAGCAACGCCGCGUGCGGGAUGACGGUCUUCGGGUUGUGAACCGCUUUCGCCUGUGACGAAGCGUGAGUGACGGUAAUGGGUAAAGAAGCACCGGCUAACUACGUG
rnacentral:rRNA from 1 species